rnacentral:tRNA from 1 species
UGGGGUGUGGCUCAAUGGUAGAGUACUUGCCUAGCAUGUGUGAGGCCCUGGGUUUAAUACCCAGCACUGCAA